rnacentral:rRNA from 1 species
GUAUAUGAGGUGAUUAAUUGGAGGGCAAAUCAAGUGCCAGCAGCCGCGGUAAUACUUGUUCCAAGAGUGUGUAUGAUGAUUGAUGCAGUUAAAAAGUCCGUAGUUUAUUUUUUUAAGAAGCAAUAUGAGGUGUACUGUAUAGUUGGGAGAAAGAUGAAAUGUGACGACCCUGACUGGACGAACAGAAGCGAAAGCUGUACACUUGUAUGUAUUUUUUGAACAAGGACGUAAGCUGGAGGAGCGAAGAUGAUUAGAUACCAUUGUAGUUCCAGCAGUAAACUAUGCCGACGAUGUGAUAUGAAAAUGUUAAUUUGUAUUACAUAAUAGAAAUUUGAGUUUUUUGGCUCUGGGGAUAGUAUGAUCGCAAGAUCGAAAAUUAAAGAAAUUGACGGAAGAAUACCACAAGGAGUGGAUUGUGCGGCUUAAUUCGACUCAACGCGAGGUAACUUACCAAUAUUUUAUUAUUUUGAGAGAACGGUUUUUGUUUGAGAAUGAUAAUAGUGGUGCAUGGCCGUUUUCAAUGGAUGCUGUGAAGUUUUGAUUAAUUUCAACAAGACGUGAGACCCUUAUUUUUUAUUAAAGACAGACACAAUCAGUGUAGGAAGGAAAGGAUUAAAACAGGUCCGUUAUGCCCUCUGACAUUUUGGGCUGCACGCGCAAUACAAUAGAUAUA